CACGAAACGAAUCCAUUGCAUAUUUACAACGCUUUCGUACACACCCAACGUAAUCAGAAUUUCUAGACGGUUGAGAAUUCUAAAUGUGAAGAGUUGUAAAUAAAUGGGACGCCUGCGGAAGUGAUAAGAGUGUGGCAAAAGAUUACCAUGCAGUGUUGAAAGUAUGCCAAUUGACAACAUCGCUUGGUUCGGUAAUGGUACGGUAGGUUCAUCACAAUCAGGAAAUGGUCAUGCUCACAGAGGUCAUCAUCUACCCUUCAGUGGAUUGGGAAGUGGAGACUGGGGUUACAAAUUAAGAGGAACCACGCCAUGUAUCAAGGUCAUGGAAUGAUUUGUUUGAAGAAUCUUCAGAAACUUACGUGGACCUUGAUAGUAGAGGCGAUAGCAACAACACCGUGGAAAACAACCAAUGAAGCCUCCAAAAAGACCAAGGCCAAAGAUGAAAUUAUCGCCAGAACGGACUGAAAUUCAAACAGCCGUGAAUGACAUUAAGGAAAUAAAUCGCAGCUUAACAGUUCCUGCCCAGAGAAUCAGAAGAUGAAUGUGAUUAAUUGGAAGACAUUUAUCACUGCAGCUCAGACAGUCACAGUCAAUUGAUAGAAUUGAUGCCAUGGCUGAAAUCCAUGCAGGAAAGGUUUCUGUGAUAUACUUGAGUAUAUACCUUCUAAUCAAUGUUUCUAAUCUGUUACAUCACCACAGUCGACUGUAGGGUUCCCACCAAAAUCGCCACCACCCGAUACACCAGUAACACCUGCUUAUUAUCAGCCCAAUAAACCUUCAGUGUCUGCACACUACGCAGUUGGAACAAUCCUCGCAGUUAAUACUCUCAAGUGAUGUACUUCGUGCAGCAAUGACAUUCUGUGAUUUAAUAAACUAACCUAUUUAGUUUUAUAUUAGUGUAUAAGGCUUAUUUUUAAUACAUGCAAAAAACGUAAACGAGUCAGUUAUGAAUUAGA